CCUCACCAGGACCAGCACGGUUUUCAAAAUUGAACUGAUUGCUUCAAGGAACAGAUCUGUGUUAGAGAUAAUUGGCAAAGCACAAAGCCAUUUCCUACCUGCUCCUAUGGAGCGGCUGCUGCGGGUGAGGGGAAGAGGAAUGUGCUCGGGUGGAAACCAGGAGCCGGUUGCUGCCGGCAGCAGGACUGCCCAAACAGCAUCCAGAGUAGCUUUGCUGGCAGGAAAACUCAAAAGAAGCCUCUGUGAAGCUGAAGUGGCUGAGCCCAUCCGGGCUGAAGGGCUCUUAUCUCACAUUUCUGAGUGGAAGAUGAGAGAGUUCCAUUGCUGUGGGUCUGGCAGUCACGCAGGCUGCCCAGACCUUGUGGACUGCCUAUGCUGGGGCACUGGAAGGUUUUACUCUGUCUGGAUGCUGCUGUGGGAGUGCUAUUGAGGUGGGCAAACUCUGCUUGGUCCCAGUGAGCUUCCAGAGUAAGAUUUCAGCUGAAAGUCAAAGAAACCCAAAGAUAGAAGCAGAAAUACCGUGAGAAAAAAUGAACCCGUAGUUUUCAAGCCGAGUGUGAUACAAGAGAACAAUGUAAUCUCCAAACAGAAAAACUCCAUGGCAAGAUAAGAUGCUCAUCAACAGGACCACCUACUCCUGUCCCAGGCCACAGAGCCAUGCCCUCCUGGUGUACCAGCAUAAAGCUUACCAACCCCAGAGACAACCACCUCCUCAGCCAAUAUUACUACUUCCUCUGCUACGUCAGGAGGAGUCCGUCUUGUUCAAUGAACUUCUCAUGUUGGAGUGGACUGAAGCAGAGCAGAGCCAAUCUGGCGACGUCACCGCAGUUCAUGAAUAAAUGAAGAAUGAACAAACUAACUACUAUUGGCAAGGAAAGAACUUCUAGUAAACAAAAUCCUGUUACAAGUUUCCAUGAGCUCUUGUAAAUAUCACUCUGUGUUUGUCCCUUCAAAAUCAUAUAACACUCUAUUCAAACCUAUCUGCAGAGCCUUUUGAAAAUCCUCCCUGGGAAGGGGCUUUUUAAAUUCAAAGGGCUUCAGACUCUAUUAGGGAUCUGUGCUUCAAAGCCCACAACAGACCCCAGUUCUCUCAACCCUCUGCUGAGCUUCAGGUCUGUGAGAAGCCAUACUGUAGUUAAUGGAAUAGCUCAUUAAUUUACAUGUUAAGGACAAGAUUAAGCAGUUGGUGAGAGGCCCAGCAGCUUGCUUGGGUGCAGACCGUGUACUUGCAAGAAAGAAGCCACCCUGGGCCAUGGUGCCCUCAGCCUUCCUCGCCGCUCUUGCUCCUGAGGCCCUCAAGAAUGAAUGAGGAAGGAAAACCUGGAGGUUUUCAAGGUGGUAAGCCCUGAGUGAGAGUGUAUGCUUCACUCUCACAGUUCAGGAAUGUGAGAUACAAGGGCAGUUUCAGUUUCCCAGUUCUCCCAUUGUUGCUCAUACAUAUCUGAGUGUGAUUUUCACAGCUACGCGCAGGUCUAACAUAGAGUUUGCAGUAUUGUGUCAGCUUGUGCAGAUGAAACAUUGUGAAGAAUUUCCUUGCACUAUAUGAAAGGUUUCAGAGGGUGACCGCUGCAUCCAAACGUUUCACAGCUGACAUUUGUCUCUGAAUAAGCAGAGUUCAAUGAAAAGGCUAAAUGUUCACAAGGAACCUCUUUACUGAGGGGUUAAUGAGGAGUUGAAAGGACUUGCACUCUGGCCUUAGCUGUGUAUGUUUGUCUUUUCUUUUACUUUCAUCUCUCCUCCCUAAAUCCUAGUCUUUUCAUUCUUUUUUUGCUGCUUUUAAUUUGUGUCUCUGUAUUAAACCAAUCAGCCUUCAUUCCUUUCUGCACUUCUUCCUUUCUUUUUUUCUUUCUUCUCUUUCUCUCCUUUCUUCUUUUGUACUGCUUAGGUUCCUGACUUUGACAGAUUGUUAACAACAGAAACCACAGAAGUGUCUAUUGCUUGAACGCACUCAUGGCCUUUCUUGCUAACACACAAUGAUUAUUAGUGAUAACAUUACACAGCAAACGGUGUAAUUGACUCAGAAGGAAAAUUCUGUUUUUGUUUGAAGAGGUAAAGGUAUAACUUUACAGGGUUUAACUCAGUCUUUUUUUUUCAUCUGCAACACAUGGCUUGAUGAAAUAUAGUAUUUGCCUGUUUUAAAGCAUUUUCUUUCCCCCUUUAAAAGUAAUAAACUCAGAAAGACGUAUUAUGUCUCAUAAUAAAGAGAAAGAUUGCAUAUUGUUAUCCAAAGAGUGCUAUGCAUCCAAAUAACAAUUUAUUUGAUGUUACUGAACAUACACUACCUGCUAUGCUCAGCAAUGUAUAGUAUAAAUAAAAAUGAGCCUGUUAGAAUACUAUUUUUCUCUACUUUUCCACACGCACACAAAAAGAAAAACAGCCUAAAAACUCAUGCAGGCAAAGUGAAACCAUUCUAACAUGCAGGAAAGAGGUUUGUAAAAAGGCUUUGAAUUGAAAACCCAACUUUGAAGCAUAAUUCGAGUUUAUAAAUGCAAUUUAUAAACAUAUAAAUGUAAUUGCGUCUAGCUUCAGUGAAGCCAAUCCCAAAGCUCUUGAGUUAUCUGCCAAUCCCUAUUUUAUAAAGGCAACAUUUCUCCUCCUUUAGCCUAAGAAAAAUGUGCAUCAAAAGUAACUGUGAAAUAUCUAGGAAAUAAUAAAGUAUUGUUUCAUCACAUAAAAAGUUUUGUAGGACAAUGUGGUUAAUAAGGCAUAGCCCUAACAUGGGUUUGUGGAUAACUAGGUGAGUUAACUCAUCAGAUUGAAUGGUCUGGAUUCCCAGUAUAGAUCUGUUAUCCUAGUUUCCAUCGUUCCUUAUACAGUUUUAAUUUCUACAGGCUAUAUUUACAGUAUACAUUUAUCAAUGUAAAGGAAUAUUCACAGGCCAUGCAAGUCAAUAUUCUGUAGUUUUAAACAAUAAGAUAAUUUUCCGGCAUAUUUCUGGCCCAUGUCAGCAGUUUCUUAAAUUUUCCCUAGGCAUGGUUCUGAGAUUAGCACAUGGUGGGAGCCAUUCCCAGUAGGCAGGCACCCUGUUUGAGCACCAGUAGCUUAAUCUGAAGUGUAGCAUUUAAUCAUUGGGAGAGAAAGAACCCUUGUGGCAAAGGAAAAGGGUCAUAAACUGUGUGCCUUUCAAACAUUUAAUGAUUUUUAGUGUAUGCUGAAAUGUAGGAACAUAGACCCUUUGCAUAUCAAGACUUGCAUUCCUGCAGAGAUGUCCUCCAAAAUUUUGGGCUUGUAGAACUUUCCUACCUCCUAAUACCUUAAUGCCCAGAUGUUCUGGAAUGUGAUAAUACACAUACACACCAGACAGGAAAGGCACGUACAUUUGCAACCAGUUUGUUGUCCAUCAGAACUGGGCAGACUCUGGAGCUGCUGUGCCUGAUGGCAUUGUCAUCAUCAAGAAAUUAAUAAACAUGCCUAAAGAAAUCCCUAAGGUAACUAAUUUAUUUGGAUUAACCAAUGCCUUUAGAUUAAAUACACUUUUAUUUAUAUACCUUUAAUCUAAAGGCAUUUUGUACUAAUCCUGCAGAAUUUUUCAAAGCAUUUUUGCUUGCUCACCUAUCUACACUCUGCUUUGAUUGGAUUAAGCCUUGGAAAGCUCUGUUUGAGCACAAGCUGAUCUCAUCCAAGAUCUGGAAAACACCAGUGGAAGAGACACCAAUAUGUUGAAGGUAAUGCUGUAUCUUCUGUUUAAAGAUCACUUCAGUGGUCUUUAAACACUUGUCCUCACUAUGAGUGUCCUUUUUGCCAGUCUCUGGAUAUGGUUGACACUAUCCUGGCAAUCACGUCUCUUAAGUCUAGUAACUUUAUUGCCUUAAAGACCUGAUGCCAUUUUGCUGCUACAGGCCUGUUAUCUGAUUGUGGUUGUCCUAAUUUUCUGCACCGGAAAAAGAGGAUUCCCUACAAUCCUGUGCUGCAAUAUUGUAAUAACAAACUCUAAUGACAGAUGUAGUAAAUAAAAUACUGAUGUGACCCAAGUAAUCAAUGUAUGGACAAAGGUGAUCAUUAUUUUCCCUAGGAUUAUAUAUCUGUAGUGCAGAAAUCUGUAUCUGAGAUAGUCACAAAAAAAGAAAAUCCUUAUAGACUUGUGCAUAAAGCAGUUCUUCUGAUCUGUUUGUUGGUUUUAUUUUCCUUUAUUUCUUUUUUUUUCUAAAACUCUUCCAAACUCCGUCUCCACCUAGACAAUGUUUUCAACCCUAUAUAAAGAAAAGAUAUUCCAGAGAUUUACACAACGAUUAAAUAUGGAAAACAUAUGCCCAUUCAUUUUAUCUUUUUAACAUCUUUGUAGGCUUUUAAAAUCCUUCAUACAUGAUAAAAAGUAUUGGUAUUCUGCACAAUUGCAGAUGAAAAUUAAGUUACCGCAAAUGUUUGCAUUAUAUAUACAUGUGUGCACACACAUAUCCAUGUGUUCAUCCAAGUAAUCUCAGAACAUGUGCUUUGAGCAUUGUGUAUACAUAUAUUGAAAAUUCUUAGGAGAACACUGAGUGCUUAAAGGUUUAUGACUGUGCACUGAUAUUAAAUUUUUACAUGUCUGCAUGUACACUUGCAUUUGCAAAAUCUUGAUCCAAUCAUAAUACUACCUGUUUUACAACGAAAGAGUAAUCAGUGUUGAAACACCUGAAGGUGGCUUUUUUUAAUACUCCAUUUUUCAACAAGUUAUAUUUCAUUGAGGGCAAAGUUUCAUUCUGUUACGUGUUUUGAAAAAGAAUUUGUUCACUUUCACAAAUCACAGCUCUGAUUGCACUGGGCAACUGUUUGGAAAGGAAAAACAUUCAUAGAAUGAGCUCUGCCAAACCACAGAGCUAGAGAUUCUAGGUACAUCCAAUAACAUGGAUAUCUCUCAGAUAAACAGUAAAUGUCUACAGAAAAAGAUCGCUUGAUAGAGCAAGAGGAUAGGGAAUGUCUUAAGGGAUAGUGUUUGAGACAGCUCCAUUUCUGGUGAUAUUGUCUAUAUAAUAAAGAAAAUCAUUUUUUAAAUUUAUUUUUGACAGUCUGUGAGUUUGGGCCUUGCAAAUGACAUUUAAAGCAAAAAUUUGAAAGGAAAUAGUUUAUCUUGCCUUGGGUUUUUUGUUUGUUUGUUUGUUUGUUUGUUUUGAGGGAGAGUGUUUGGGUUUGGUUUGGGAUUUUUUUUUCCUUGCAAAGUUAAGGCCUGCUUUACAGAGAACCACCAAGAAAAAUGGAGUCAUUGUUAGCUGAUUUCAUACCUAUGCAGUCCGGCUUAGAAGUCCUGCCACCAACGACGUGUGCCAUAUGAACAAAAUCUGGGAUUAAUUAAGUGAGAGUGAACUCCUAACCCAUUUGAACUGUCAUGCUGAAGGUCUGGCACAAAGGAUCCGGGAGUUUACAAAGACUAAUCACCAUUGCAGGGUCCUAUGGGCUACUCUUCACACAAGUGCCUCUGUAGUAAAAUGAGGCUUCAAAGUGACUGUUGCACACUGAGAACCACAAAGACUGAGACAAGGGGAUGCUUAUUGGACACUGACUUUCUUUUGUUCAAAUACAAGGCUUUGCUUUCUUUAUAAAAGAAUAAAAUGACCUUAGCUUUAAUGUCAUCUAUCUAAUCACAGCUUCAUAGUCACUGAUGUCCAGUGAGAAUAUAAGCUAGACAGGACAGAUAGCUACUCCUUGUUUAGGAAAAUUAACCAUUCCUUGUUUAAGAUCCCAGUUAAUAUUGUUUCAUACACCACCAGAUAUUAGUAUCUGAGGCUAAUUUUUCCAUGCAGCGUAUCUGUUGCUAUCUGAUUAUUAUGACAUCAAAAUUUAGGAAGGUUUCUCAGUUAGGUCACUUAGAGAUCUCAGCAAUACAAUGAGCUCAAUAUAAGGACCAAAAGAAAAUUUCCUGUAAUUCCAGAAUUCAAACAGUUGCAGAAUGGUCUUGGGCACAGACCUUGAACCAAAAAGCAAGGUUCACACUUCAAGGUCUACUUCACGUAUAGAGUCCUUGCAUGAUCUACAACUUCUGUCAGCUUUCUGGGAACUUGUUUUGGGCUGUGCUAUAGUAAUUCCAAGCUUGCUGGUGUCCUGUGUGUCAUAUACUGUGAAACAAUGCAGUUUCCAAAGGAAUUUUUUAGUUUUGCUUUGUGAAAUAUUGGGAAGUUGCGCAUAUUAAAGCAAAAAUAAAAUAAUGUUUACAAUAAAGUUAUCAAGAUAGUGAAGCCAAACUCUUAGAAACACAGUUAACUAAUGUUUCAGAAAAGUGAGAUAACUAUAAAGUCCUAGAACAAUUUCUUCAAAGGGUUUCUGUUUUUCUUCUGCCAAAUUUUGUGACAACACUGAGCAUUCUGAAUGAAAGUAUCCCACUUUUAUCUCCAGUUUCCAUUUGGACUGUUGCUUUGUUAUUAUUUUUUUUUAAUUACUUCUGUUACAGCUACAUAUAAGGCUUCUCAUCAAGAUCUGAAUCCCAUUUUAUUUGUUGUAUCUGUGUGUGGAUACAGUUAAUACACCAAAGAGUUUUCUGCAAGAAUCCCGAUAGAGAUCUACCCAACAACCCAUUAAGAUAAAUGUAAAGAGAAAGGAGCACCAGAAUUUAGACCACUUAAAAUGUCUUCAGAAGUGAGAAUUCAUCAGAAGAUGGCAUUACAUCAAUCAGAAAACACUCCGUGGUUGUGUAUUUUUUUCAAAAGCCUUUUUUUCAGAAGAAAUUACAUGUCUUUGUGGAAGGAGAAGGUCCUUACUGAAAGGUUUUCAGUAUUCAAGGAUAUUGAAAAAUGAAUAGAAAUGCAGGCUUCUUCAUAUAUGUAUCAGACAGAAAUAAUCCCUGUAACACGUCUGAUCUCUGUUCUACAGAAUUCAGACAAGGAAAAGACAAGCAAAAAGAAAACCUUCAAGUGCUAAAACAGUUCAUCCUGUUUUCAGUAGUGCAACCAAGCACAAAAGUUUAGACAACAGCAGAGCUGGAAAGAUCAAAGGGAAAGCAAGAACAGAACUGAAAACAGCAGGCCCCUUGCUUUCACAUCCUACACUUGGUUUUCUGGCUAGACAUCCCUGGUCAGCCUUGGCUGUGCCAGCUGAGGACAUAGUCAUGGCCAGCCCACUUCCAUCAUUUUGCUACUAUGCCCUUGGGCAAGGUCGCUCCUUUCCUUAGAUCCUUUGUCUCAGACAGACAACAGGCUAAGAACAGUCCCUUUUAGUUAAAAUAGGCUCUUUACGAAAGGAUUUAUUGUUGAUAUUCAUUAGGCAAGCAGAGCUCUUCAUGGCCAUACAGGACAAGGAAGAACCAUGAGAAGACUGAGGCCCAACACACAAGAGAGCCAAUGACCACCAGUGGUGGGACAGAGAGAGAGUAUUGGUGUAUCAGAUUUAUGUAGCAAGAUUUUAGAGGGCUGUAGGUGUAGCCUCCGUGAGGAGACCAGAAGCUGCCCCAUGUCAGAUCAGAGUCAGUUACAGUUGGCUCCAAAAAGGACCUGUCACUAUCCAGGGCUGAGCUAAAGCUGGUUGUGCCACUGGAGAGCAGAUUUAAGAAAGGGAAAAACUGCUGCACAGCAGCAGCUGGCAGAAAGGAGUGAAAAAAUAUGAGCAAAACAGCUGUAAAGACAUCAAGGCCAGUGCAGAAGGAGGACAGGAGGUGCUCCAGGUGUGGAGCAGAAUCUCCCUGCAGCCCAGGAGAGGCCCAUGGUGGAGCAGGCUGUCCCCCUGCAGCCCAUGGGCACCACACAGAGCAGAUCUCCAAGUGCAGCCAUGGAAGAGCUCAUGGUGCUGCUGUGGAUGAGGCCUGGAGGAGGUAUAGUUCAUGGAGAGCCCCUGCAGGAGCAGCCCCAGGCCGGAGCUGCAGCCCGUGGACAGCUGCUCCCCAUGGGGAUCUGUGCAGGAGCACUUCCUGAAGAACGGAUCCUGUGGUACGGAUCCAUGUUGGAGCAGGGCUUGGAAGAGCUGCAGCCUAUGGGAAGCCCAUGUGGGAUCAGUUCAGGGAGGACAGCGUCCUGUAGGAGGGAGCCCACAUCGAGCAGUAGAGGAAAAGCGUAAUGGACUGACCACAGCCCCCAUUCUCCAUCCCCCUGCACCAAUCAGGGGGAGAAAGUGAAAGAGUGUGGAAAAGAGUGUGUUUCCUUUGCCUAUGAUGGUGAUUGGUGAGUGAGUGGUGUGUUGGCUGUUCAAACAAGCCCAUGUGGGUGUGAGACAUUCACUAAUGAGACACAAGCUGUCUCACCAGCUCAUUCAGGGUGGUGGUGGUCCCCAGCAGGAUGAGAGGUGAAACCAGAGCAGGUGGUUCCUGGGUUGGCAGAAAAGUGUGCAGGGUGUGUGCCUAUAUCCAGCUUCAGUAUAACAGUUUCCUGGAAGGUAAAAUUCUCAGUCUCCAAAGAUAUGCUUGCUGCUCACCCAUAAGUAUACAGUCUUCUGCUUUGCACUUUUAACAAGUAUUUUCCUCUAUUGCCAAUAAUUGAGUGGUCUAUCAGAAGCAAUGAGGAGUGUGGGACUCAGAUUGCUGGCCAAAUAUACUUUUGCCUUGUGUAGUGUGUGUUCAUUGAUAAAUUCAUCAUUUUGGGACACUUUGGGUUCCAGAGAGUUAAUGCUGUAAAAGUCUUUUAGAAAAAAUGGACUGAGGUGAUUGAGAAGGUAUCGGGCUACACGCAGCAAUCCUCAGUACAACGGCUGACGGCGGUAUUUAUUUUCAUUUGAUAAACAGCGAGAGCAGGGCCUGCCCCAGACUUCUCUCACUCCAUUCAGAAAGCAAUGUUUAUGAACAGCUGCAGGGAGUUACUCACAAGAGGCUUAAACAGGGAGGGGGAAGAAAGGCCAUUCCUCCGGGCCCACCCAGCCACUGGAUUUUUCAGCUGAAGGGCAGAGUCAAUUUUAUCCCAACCGGCCGGUGAAAAUUGAGCCCAAACAACUGUUGGGAUCACAAAAACUGGAGAGAGAGAAAAGAUGGUGAUAAAUGCAACAGCAAGUCAUACCCUUAGAGCUGCCCAACGUGCCUCUGUCAAGGAGAUAAUGGUGGGUUUGGGGCUAACAUGAGGAAAAAAGAAAAGGUCACUCAGAGACAUAAGAAAGAUAUUUGGGAAAAUGUUUAAAGGGCUUCUUAGUACACCAGUAUCUCUACAUGUUUCACUGGAGAUGCUGAUUAUUUGGAAAAGUAAUUUCACCCAUUUCCCCUUUUGUGGUGCAGGUGAAGGGAUAAAAACUUCUCCUAAAACAGGAAUUUCUGCCUUUUAAGACUCAGUGAUUUAUUUCAAUGUCUUAUUGGUACACAGCUUUUGAAUUUCUUAGAUACACUUUAGCAUCAUACUACUGUUGGUAUGCUGGUGGGAUUUGGAGAGGGAAAAGGAGGGAUUUUUCUCAGUCUCAUAGUGAAAAUGGAGCCAAAUCCCAGAUUAUUCUCAACCUCUUGCCGACAUAAAGUACUGGUUCUCCUGUUAUAGAAAUGGAGCAACACCGCUCUCCUCCAGAUACUGCAGUGUGUGCUCUGAUGAAGAUGUGAAGUCAUUAAAUUUAAGGAAUUCUCUCUUAUCUAACGUUUUUCACAGAUUUUAGUGGAAAUUCUGGCCUUUUUUUAGCAGAGAUUUUAGCAGAAAUUCUAUACUGCCUACUUACACAAUUAUGCACCAUAAAUCUGUGGUAAUUUAUGAAGAUUUUUCACAUAUAAUUCAAACCAGUUUCUCUUGCAUUCUGGGGAAAUUCAAAUGUCUUAUCCAUCAGUACUGUGAAACUGGAAUUCAACUGUUCAGAUUAAAUCUAUGUUCCAUAACAUAGAUUUUGUUUAUGAUUUCUUAUUAAAUACAGAUAGUCUUUUACUUAAGAAUUUAUGUUCGUUAGAUUUUCAAGUUCAUCAACUUCAUCAAAGCUACUAAUCAGGAAAAUAGUUCCUGUUUUAUCCUUAAUUCUUUGAGAAUUAACAUAAAUCUGACAACUGUUUAAAAUAUUAAUGGUUUCUGCUCUUCAGUACGUGGAGCCUGCACACACAGACAACACAACUUCCAAAUGCUUUUAGCAGUGAUUUGCCUAAACUCUUUGCAUAUGUUGUGGCUUAACCCUGGCAGACAGCUCAGCAUCACACAGCGGCUCACUAACUCUCCCUAGGUGGCAUGGAGGAGAGAAUCAGAAAGGUAAAAAUGAAAGAACUCAUGGGUUGAGAUAAAGACAGUUUACUAGGUAAACCUGUGUGCACAAGUAGAGCAAAGCAAAGAAUUAAUUUGCUAAUUUCCAUUAUCAGGCAGAUGUUCAGCCACUUCUUCCAGGAAAGCAGGGCUUAUCACGUGAAGUGAUUUCUUGGGAAGACAAAUGACAUCGCUCCAAAUAUCCCCACUUCAUCCUUUUUUACCCUGGCUUUUGUUGCUGAGCAUGAUGUCAUGGCACAGAAUACAUCCUGGCUGUGUCCCCUCCCAGCUCCUGGUGCAGCCCCAGCCCACCUAGAGGCAGGACAGCACAUGAAGCUGAAAAGUCCUUGAGGCUAUGCAGGCACUGCUCUGUAACACACCAGUGUUUUAUCACCGCUAUUUUCAACGAAACUCCAAAACAUGGCAUCAUAUAAUCCUCUGUGAAGAAAAUAACUCAAUCCCAGUCAAAACUAUGACAGAAUAUCAGUGUAAAAACAGUUACCAUUAAUUUGUUUCAGUGUUAAAACUGUCUUGAUAAUUGCACAUAACGCAUUUCAUCACAGAAGUCAAGAAAAACAUUGACUAACAAGACUUAGAACAUCUGUGAAAUAAUUGAUUUCAAAUCUGUUUUAUCUGUUAUAAUAAACUCAAAUCUGCAGUGGGCCUGUAGGUGUUCAGUUCUUCUGCUGCUGAGUUACAUCGUUAUGUGCCAAAAGCAUAGAUGAGAUAAAAAUAUGGAAAAAGUGCUCAUAACCAUGCAAUAAAUGUAAGCUGUUACGUCAGCUUAAUCUUACUGGUGCUGGUUCAGUGACAUACUCUGCCAAGGAAGGUAAUGAAUAUUAAGGACAAAUGUCUACCAAUACUCAUAUUUGCUGUUCACUUUGACCCCAAUCGUGGGAGAAGGCACAAUGACAAAACAUCUCAAAGAGGACUCUCCAUAGUGUUUCUGUUACUGAUUUAUCUUGUCUGGUACUCUGUCUCCAGGGAUGGUAAGUCUCUGAGACUUCAGAGACUUCAGAAGACUUGAGACAUUAACAUGAAAAACAUUGCUGAGAGCAAUUAGGAGCUCUUUUUUUCUUUUCUAGAACCAAAAGGGAACAAAAAAAUGGAGAAACGGGCUUGCAGGAUUCAAUAUAAAAAUAGACAGAACCAAAAAAUGGUAGUCUCUAUAUGAUAGUUAUUACAGUAGCUUUUUUUUAACAAUACCACUAUUAAGCCACUGGUAUGAAUAAAGCACUGAGAUUGUCACUUUGCUGUCAUGGCUGGCCAGUAAAGCUAAAUUUUAGUCAGGCUCUUGAAUCAGAGUAACAUAAAGUAUGUCCAUAAAUGUUUCCCCAAGGCAGCUCAUAAAUAAAUACCUGGCAGCACCACUUCAGUAUCAUUCAGUACCCUUCAAUCUGCAGCAUUUGUACUUCUCAAGAUAACUCUUCAUUUAAAAAAAUAAUCUUUCAAAACUGUGAGAAAAUUUGCUUAUGAGUAGAUCCAAGAAUACGUUCCCAAAGAAAGCCACAAUCCUAUGCUCUCACAUAAAUCUCCCCUUUGUAUUUAAGGCUGCAAUUUUCUUCCUUUAGAUACUGCAUGUUUUUACCAUGCCCUUGGAUGAAUUUUUUAGUAAGUCUACUAAUGGCAAAGCCAGUUUUGAUCAGGGCUGAUGACAUGUUUUCCAUCUGUCUAAAGCAACUUCCUCCUGUAACAUGCUGAAUCUCAUGUAAGGUGUAACUAAAUUGCAAAUGAUCUUUUCCCUAGGGAUGCAUACGCUAUCAUGAGUCCGGAGUUUCUAGCCAGCAGAAGCAAGAGACAUACAUCACAAGGAAGAGCAGCUUUCAGGUUUCUUCACAAACUGCCCCAUGAAUGAGUUUAAGGUUUUUCAGGAAGAAUUGUGUGGAGAUGCAGACACAGCCUCCGUACCCAUUCUGGCCUACAUUUUGCCUAUGGCUCUCUGCUUUGUCAUUCAAAGUAGCUGUAAACACAGAGUGGGCUAUCCCCACCUGCCUUCACUCUUUGUGGCUGUUUUAUUGGCAUCUUACUGGAAGUUGGCUGACAGUUGCUUGGCCACAGGUGUGUUCUUACCAGACAGGUGUGCUUGAGCAUGGGGGCCCUGCAUGCUUUGGACCAUAUGCUUCAGGUGCCAGAUUUGCACGAGUAUGAUCUAGGUGGACAGGCAGAUUGGUCUUGAGGCAGUGUGGAUGUGCCAUGGUGCUGUCAAGGGUGAACUGGUAAACAGAAGCUCCAUGUAAAAUGACGGACUUUGGCUGCAUGCCCCUGACGCCCAAGGAGCCCUGUAGGGAAAUGACCUAAGCGUGACCUGGUCCUCCACCCCUUUGCCUUGGUUUACACAAGGAGGAACACAAGUGUUCAGGCAAGAUGGAAACAACAGGACAUUUGCCAAGGCCUUAGACAGCCACGGACAAGAGACUGGGGACAAACUGGUGGGGCUUAGCUGAAACACAGCCAGUGCUCACCUGCUUCUAAUGUGCAGAAAGGCCAGUUUUGCCACUCCUCACUGCCCAACACAAAAGAUCAAACCAGCAGCUUAAGUCACUUUUAAAACAUUGAUUUACUUCACUGGCAGCAGUCUGCACUGUGAAGCAAGGUGUGACUGCUUGUGCCCAAGGCACCUUUAAUUACACAGAUUCAGGAAACCAGAACAGUGUGGGUAUGCCUCUCUAGCUUAAUUAUGGGCUGUGCAUUGGGAAGGCACAUAGUUCCUUCAGCUCAGCUAGAUGUGGGUUCCAGCUCCCAGAAGCACCUGGGAGAUUUUCAAUGAUAAUUCAAAUUGCAUAAGAUUCUACUGAUGAGAAAGAAAGUUUUCCUAAUAUAUUUUUUAAAUCAUGCACACAAAAAGAAACAAACUGCUGGAUAUCCACAAUAUUCAGCAAGUGAAGUGAUUUUUUAGCCUCUCUGGAAAUCCAUUCUAAUCAAAAUUAUGUAACUCAAGUCCAAGUACAUUGGAGAAGAUUCAUUAGACCAAGGACAGUAAAAAAUUGGAAAGUCUAGAGCAGCCUCUGUCACAAAAGAGGGAUGUUUCUGGGUACUCUGGGAAUGCAAGGAAGACUUGCCUUAAAGGUAAAGCCCACUGAAGUCAGUGGAACUGUCUGAACAUAUAAUGUCUGAAAAUAUUGCCUGUAAUGUCUCUUCUGAUUAUUUUCCCUUUGUUUUUGGCCAGCUGUUCACAAAGGUAUUGCUCUGGGAUAUAACCAGCUAAGACUGAUGUUGAAGGAGAAAAGGAAAUAUCCCCAAGGUAGAUUUUAAAGCUGCCUGAUAGACAAAGAUACAGUUCUUUGAUUUAUACACUAUGAAAUGCCUCUGAAUUAACCUAAUUAAUCAAUUAGGACCUAAAAAAAUAAUCCCACCACUGUAUUUGAUUUCAUCAUCUCAGUUCUCAUAGAAAAGUACUAUUAUUCUAUGUACUGAAGAUAAUAGGUUAUAUGUCUGAAACAGAGUGCAGAAAAAGGUCCUCCCUGACACUGUGUGUGAUAUAAUUAGCUUUCUUCAUGUGUUACUCUUGCCAACAAAUUUUAUACUUUAGACAAAAUAGUUAAGUUUUUCCCCAGUAUCCUUUCAAGAACUAAUGAGUUUUCUCAGAUACGCUGUACUGUGCUUCAAAGUCACUUUCUCAUGUCAAAUUACUUCUGGACUGUAACUUUUUUUGCCUUCAACAGCAAUACACUUCCCACAUGAAUUGUUCAUAUCUGUUAGUUUUAUAAUCAGAUUGUUUGUAAUAUUUAUACAUUUUCGUUAACGUCAGAACUCUUAACUGGUGCAUCAGUACAUCUGUAAUGUUUGGGAGUGCCCUGAAUGCAUCAAAAUUGUCAACACCAGCCGUCUGUAGUUCUAGACUGACGAUUUCCACAUGGACUGGAAAGAAAUACAGUCACAGAUUUAAUACUUUAAAGUUUGGGAGGUUACCAAGUUGUCCAGAUGUAUUUCUCUUGCUGCUGGAAUCCCAUGUUGCUUUACGUGAAUGCAGGAUUCCCUCCUAAAAGUAAUUACAAGUGUUUGUGUUCAGCAAUGUCAGGAGGAAAUAAGGAAAUAAUGCUAGAGAAGUUCACGGCAAUCGGCCCUUCGUUCCAGAGUCCUCACACACAGCGUAGGGAGGGACUUCUUUAUGACUGCAUCAAGAGUCUUACCAGACUCAAUAGAUAUCAAAAGAUGAAAAAUACAUUCAUAUCUUUCUUUGUUUUUUUGUUCUGUGCCCAACCAUAACUGUCCAUGGAGAGCAAGUCUAAGUGAAUAAACGGUUCCCACAGUGGUUAA